rnacentral:rRNA from 1 species
GACGAACGCUGGCGGCGUGCUUAACACAUGCAAGUCGAACGGAAAGGCCCUGCUUUUGUGGGGUGCUCGAGUGGCGAACGGGUGAGUAACACGUGAGUAACCUGCCCUUGACUUUGGGAUAACUUCAGGAAACUGGGGCUAAUACCGGAUAGGAGCUCCUGCUGCAUGGUGGGGGUUGGAAAGUUUCGGCGGUUGGGGAUGGACUUGCGGCUUAUCAGCUUGUUGGUGGGGUAGUGGCUUACCAAGGCUUUGACGGGUAGCCGGCCUGAGAGGGUGACCGGCCACAUUGGGACUGAGAUACGGCCCAGACUCCUACGGGAGGCAGCAGUGGGGAAUAGUGCACAAUGGGCGGAAGCCUGAUGCAGCAACGCCGCGUGCGGGAUGACGGCCUUCGGGUUGUAAACCGCUUUCGCCUGUGACGAAGCGUGAGUGACGGUAAUGGGUAAAGAAGCACCGGCUAACUACGUG